AACACUUUAAUAGGCGACUUCAGGUGCUCCAGAAGGGCUUUACAUUUUCCCUUGUAACUAUACAUACAUGUAUUUGGAAGAUUGAUUGAUUGACAUCUAGUUACAAACGUGUCAUGCAUAAUCAGGACGAAAACACAAAUUAAACAGAACAGAAUGACAUACCAUUAAAAGGGAAGAGUUUGGGUCGAUUUUAGAACGCAGCAAUCAUGACUGGAACCAUUGUUCCCAUCGGUAUAUUUCAAGACGUCACAAAAAAAAACAAAAAAUAACCAUGAUUUAAAUUUCCAUCCAAAACACACAAAACAAAUUCCCAAACCAAUCAAAAUUUACAAUAUUCGAAAAUCAUCCCACACAUACCCUUAAAAAAAAACCC
rnacentral:lncRNA from 1 species